CAAGUACUCCGUCCGUCCGGAAUCACUUGUCAUCAAAAUGGAUGUGUCUAGAACUAAAAUACAUCUAGAUACAUCCAUUUCAAUGAAAAGUAUUUUCGGACGGAGCGAGUAUAAG
rfam:Triticum aestivum genome assembly, contig: Triticum_aestivum_CS42_TGACv1_scaffold_221143_3B